UGCAGUCGUACGAGAGUUUUUACUCAAGUGGCGGACGGGUGAGUAACACGUAAGAAUUUGCCUUUAGGAGGGGGACAACAUCGGGAAACUGUUGCUAAUACCCCAUAUGCUUUCGAGUGAAAUGGUUUUUCCGCCUAAAGAGAAGCUUGCGUCUGAUUAGCUUGUUGGUGAGGUAAUGGCUCACCAAGGCGACGAUCAGUAUCUGGUUUGAGAGGAUGAUCAGACACACUGGAACUGAGACACGGUCCAGACUCCUACGGGAGGCAGCAGUAGGGAAUUUUCCGCAAUGGGCGAAAGCCUGACGGAGCAAUACCGCGUGAGGGAUGACGGCCUAUGGGUUGUAAACCUCUUUUUUCAGGGAGGAAUCAAUGACGUGUACCUGAAGAAUAAGCAUCGGCUAACUCCGUGCCAGCAGCCGCGGUAAUACG
rnacentral:rRNA from 1 species